rnacentral:rRNA from 1 species
GACGAACGCUGGCGGCGUGCUUAACACAUGCAAGUCGAGCGGAAAGGCCUCUUCGGGGGUACUCGAGCGGCGAACGGGUGAGUAACACGUGAGUAACCUGCCCCCUACUUGGGGAUAACCAUCGGAAACGGUGGCUAAUACCGGAUAUGAUCUUGCUCGGCAUCGGGUGGGGUGGAAAGUUUUUCGGUGGGGGAUGGGCUCGCGGCCUAUCAGCUUGUUGGUGGGGUGAUGGCCUACCAAGGCGGUGACGGGUAGCCGGCCUGAGAGGGCGACCGGCCACACUGGGACUGAGACACGGCCCAGACUCCUACGGGAGGCAGCAGUGGGGAAUAUUGCGCAAUGGGCGAAAGCCUGACGCAGCGACGCCGCGUG